CAGCGAACAUUAUGAGAGGGAUGACAGUACAAACUUUGAAUUUAAACGGUUUCUUCACAAUGUCUGAGUUGAAAACAAAUCUUGUUGUCACAUAAGGGUCCUGUUCAUGUUGCAAGGA